rnacentral:rRNA from 1 species
AAACCAACAGGGAUUGCCCUAGUAACGGCGAGUGAAGCGGCAACAGCUCAAAUUUGAAAUCUGGCCUCGUCCCGAGUUGUAAUUUGCAGAGGAAGCUUUAGGCGCGGCACCUUCUGAGUCCCCUGGAACGGGGCGCCAUAGAGGGUGAGAGCCCCGUAUAGUUGGAUGCCUAGCCUGUGUAAAGCUCCUUCGACGAGUCGAGUAGUUUGGGAAUGCUGCUCAAAAUGGGAGGUAAAUCUCUUCUAAAGCUAAAUACCGGCCAGAGACCGAUAGCGCACAAGUAGAGUGAUCGAAAGAUGAAAAGCACUUUGAAAAGAGGGUUAAAUAGCACGUGAAAUUGUUGAAAGGGAAGCGCUUGUGACCAGACUUGCGCCGGGCGGAUCAUCCGGUGUUCUCACCGGUGCACUCCGCCCGGCUCAGGCCAGCAUCGGUUCUCGCGGGGGGAUAAAGGCCCUGGGAACGUAGCUCCUCCGGGAGUGUUAUAGCCCAGGGCGCAAUGCCCUCGCGGGGACCGAGGUUCGCGCAUCUGCAAGGAUGCUGGCGUAAUGGUCAUCAGCGACCCGUCUUGAAACACGGACCAAGGAGUCAAGGUUUUGCGCGAGUGUUUGGGUGUAAAACCCGCACGCGUAAUGAAAGUGAACGUAGGUGAGAGCUUCGGCGCAUCAUCGACCGAUCCUGAUGUUUUCGGAUGGAUUUGAGUAGGAGCGUUAAGCCUUGGACCCGAAAGAUGGUGAACUAUGCUUGGAUAGGGUGAAGCCAGAGGAAACUCUGGUGGAGGCUCGCAGCGGUUCUGACGUGCAAAUCGAUCGUCAAAUCUGAGCAUGGGGCGAAAGAC